ACAGGCUAGAUGGUAAAUGGGUCAGGGAGAGAGAAACAGGCUAGAUGGUAAAGGGGUCAGGGAGAGAGAAACAGGCUAGACGGUAAAGGGGUCAGGGAGAGAGAAACAGGCUAGACGGUAAAGGGGUCAGGGAGAGAGAAACAGGCUAGACGGUAAAGGGGUCAGGGAGAGAGAAACAGGCUAGACGGUAAAGGGGUCAGGGAGAGAGAAACAGGCUAGACGGUAAAGGGGUCAGGGAGAGAGAAACAGGCUAGACGGUAAAGGGGUCAGGGAGAGAGAAACAGGCUAGACGGUAAAGGGGUCAGGGAGAGAGAAACAGGCUAGACGGUAAAGGGGUCAGGGAGAGAGAAACAGGCUAGACGGUAAAGGGGUCAGGGAGAGAGAAACAGGCUAGACGGUAAAGGGGUCAGGUAGAGAGAAACAGAGAGAGUAUGUGUUUGUUUUUCAGAUGAUGUGAGAUCAGUACUCAGAAUUAAAUGUCAAUAAUGAAUAAGAAUCUAGUCGGGCAGAGCCUUUGUCCAGUGCCAGGUAUAAAUACAGGGCUCAGAUGAAUCAUCAACCUGCAUCGAGUAGCUAGCCCAUGCCCUGCCUGCCAUAUGUUCUGCUCUCUCCCUCACGGUGUCACAUACUAUAGUAUAGUCUACUUCUAUGUGCUGUAGGACUACUUUUUUCCACCAUGAAACAUCGUUUAAAUAUCCUCUAAUAGUUUCUGGACAGCCUCCUCCAUUUUCUUCUUCCUUAUUUGACGAUAAGGAAGCUAACAUCUGAUUUACUAGCUUGUAUAGUAGAUAUUUCCUAUUUCCUCUCAUCCAGCAGAAGCCUACAUACAGAACACUCUCUGCAACAUUGUGUGUGUAGGUGUGGGGUCCAGCUACAUUGUUCUAUUUCAUUCUGUAGGUUCUUCCCUCUCUGUGUCUAGGGGGUUGGAGGUCACGACCUCAGGCUGGGUAUAUUCAGGAAUGCGGACACAGAGGUUGUGUUUCGGCUCUGUUCACCGCUGUGAUUUCUUGAUUUUAUCAGCACA